rnacentral:rRNA from 1 species
CCUACGGGUGGCAGCAGUGGGGAAUAUUCGGCAAUGGGCGCAAGCCUGACCCAGCAACGCCGCGUGCAGGAAGAAGGCUUUCGGGUUGUAAACUUCUUUUGUCAGGGACGAAGAAUGUGACGGUGCCUGACGAAUAAGCCACGGCUAACUACGUGCCAGCAGCCGCGGGAAUACGUAGGGGGCAAGCGUUAUCCGGAUUUACUGGGUGUAAAGGGCGUGUAGGCGGGACUGCAAGGCAGCUGUGAAAACCACGGGCUCAACCUGUGGCCUGCAUGUGAUACUGUAGUUCUUGAGUACUGUAGAGGCAGACGGAAUUCCUAGUGUAGCGGUGAAAUGCGUAGAUAUUAGGAGGAACACCAGUGGCGAAGGCGGUCUGCUGGACAGCAACUGACGCUGAGGCGCGAAAGCGUGGGGAGCAAACAGGAUUAGAUACCCGGGUAGUC